CUAAUGGUUCGCGCCUGGAAGAGGGGGUCAGACGAGGUCGCGGCAGUCUCGGCAACGGUGGAGCCCCUGCCUCAGCUCGCACUGGCUCCGCCCCCUCGCUUCCACGCCCCUGAAUGCCAGCCGGAAUGAGAUUUUCAAGACAGCGCAAAGAGACAGAAGACAGAGACCAGAGUCUGACAUCAACAGAAGUUUAUUUCAAACAGAAAGACUCUCCUGAGGGAAAUGGGUGUCUUGGAAGGGAGUAAGCUAGCUGGGGUCCUUUAUAAAGGCCAGUGGGAGACUUGGAAAUGAAAUUCUUGCAGCCACAGGGCUAUGUGUUGGUCUGUGAUGUGUCUUACCUGGAUUUGUUUGAUUUACAAAAGACCGUUCGACUUGGGUGGCAGGCUCCUCCAGCAGAGAUUAUCUGGAUUGUGGCUGACUGAAGAAUUUGGUCAAGGUCAGCUCUAUUCCCACAGAAAUCCUGUUUUAUAGCUGAGGCACUUUGUCACCUCAGACAAUUUCUUUUAAUUGAAAAGUUUUUAUUUUAUAGACCCACCCUAUCUUGAGAAUUGCCGGAAGACAAUCUCCAACCUUGCUCUUAGACCAAGAGUAGACAGUCUUCACUGUUAAUGUUUUUACUCUUUGUGGAAUCAGGUCAGUAGGGCAAGUUGUCUUGCUCUGAGGAUGUAACCUGUCAGAGAUCCUUCAGAGUCCUUAUUUAGAUCCGGAUCACCUCAGCUGUACACCCGUGCUUUUGUAGGGAUGUGGUUAAAAGGCCCUGCUUCCUAUGGGCGGAUGCGAAGUGAUACUGUUGCAAUUCCUGCUAAGUAGAGGAGUACAAAGUAGACUUUCUACCAGCAAGGCUCGAUUGGCUGGAUAUCUUGGCCGUGAGCAAUCCGCCCGCUUGUACAUUAUUGCUUCAAUGACAAAGCGUCAUCCAUACUGCCAUCUUGAGUUGCUGCAUCCCUAAUUCUUUCCCAAUGUUUCUAUUAAUAAUAAUGCAGAGUAAGAAAUUGGGUAUGAACUGUUUUCUUUCCAUGAAGGCAUUACCGCACACUGUUCUGAUAGGUAUCCAGGCACAGACACUUCUGUAUAGCUUCUGAUGCCAAAGAGAACCAGGAACCUGUAGCUUAGGAGGGGAUCUUGAUAAGUAAACACCGAGGCUAUAUUAAAGUGUAAUUAAAAGUAGUAGAUAUCAGUGUUAAGUCUCAAACCCUGGGACAAAUGGCCGAGGUGUCUAUUUAAUAUCAAAGCAGAUCCGACCUCCAGGUUCUCCCAGCAUCCCUCAGUCCCUACCUGUUACAGGAUAUGGCUGGCAUACCCUGCCUUCUACCCCAGAACUCUCCAGCCCAGGGACCAGGCUGCCCUUCCCUAGGUGCCUCUUCCCUAUAUAAUCCAGCCUUUUUGGUCACCUGCCCCUCUUGCACUUUUGACCUCUUGGCUACAGCACUGGGUUCUUCUCUCUCCCCUCUCCCCACACAGCCCAGCUCAGCCUGGUCACAUGUACUCUGGACAGAUGUCUCUGUCUCUGGCUAAGCUCUCCCACAUAUCUAUAAUAAACUUCCUCCUCUACCGUACUAAGAGUACCCACGUCCUUUCCUUUCCUCUUUCUUUAAAAUGUCUUCCUGUUGGCAGGAUAUAGCCAGAGUAUUUCCAUGCUAAUAAUCAAUUGUGGUUUUGCUUGUCAUUUGUUUGUUUGCUUUGUUGUUUGUUUGUGUGGUUUUUUUUUUUUUAGCAGUUUUAACUCUUAGGGAUGACAUCAUUUCUAUCAAAGAACAUCAUUGUUCUUUGGAGUUGUCUGUCUUGUUUGUUUCUUGAGAUGGGAGCUUCUCUGUGUAGCUCUGGCUGUCCGGGAACUCAACCUGUAGACCAGGCUGGCUUCAAACUCAGAGAUCUGUCUGCCUCUGACUUCCAAAUGCUGGGAUUCAAGGCCAUCACACCCCAGUUACUGUUUUACAAAUGACCCUUUGCCUCCUACUGAAUGAAUGUUUUUUUUAUCAUUUGUGUGCUAAUGCAGGUCACCCAGCUAGGUAGCCUAAUUUUUCUUGAAAUAGAUGCUGGUUUCUCAUGAUCAUCCAAGUGGCAAGAAAAAGGUGUUUGAUGCUCUCUCCUGACCCCAGAGUGCAGAAGUGAGAGGAGAUGUCACUGCAUAUUUGUGGGGAUUGAGCCAGCUGCUUCCCCUUAGACCUAAGGCAGCCUGCACUGGGUAAGAGGCUGACGGUGAGCAGAAGACAUUUGAAGAUAGCCGUUUGCAUGUCUGCAUGCUUUUAUUUCCUUUUUAUCCCCUAGCUGCAGCGAGGCAAAGGUUUUGAAGCUGCUCUUCUCAACUCUCUUUUCUGCUUUAAAAGGCCGGUUCGUCAUCUGAGGCUUCCUGCUGGAAUCUUCUUGCUUUCUAUUAAAUCUAUUUCUGAUAGAUUCCUCUCAGGUGGAUAAUGGGUCUGCCAGGCCUUCCAUUCCUCGCCAGCAAGAACAGGAGUCAAGUGGACCUUCAGUCCUGCACAUCAUUAAUACGCUAAUGGGUACGGCUCUUUCCGAACUGCCGUGGCAUUACGCAACACAUCCUAUUGCGUUUUAGUAAUUACCCAACCAGGCCUCGUGCACAUAAGGAAAUCAGGCAUGAUUGAUUCAAACGUCUGGCAUUUGUGAGCCGUAAGAGCCAGGUGGUUUCAAGCCCGAGGGAGCCUCAGUAGGGGAGAGAACAACUGGCCUUUUUCUACUGAGGAAAAACAGCCCAGUGCCGUCAGCUCAUCCUGCCACCUCCCUUCCCAUGAUGCUCGUGGCUGGCGCUAUCUGGCAAGAAAGACCCCCUUCCCUUUGCUGCCUCUCAGAAGUUGCAUGUCUCUGUUUCUUGUCAAUCUUCCUUACCCUUUUCAGUUAGCAUGGGACGUGUGUGUAGAAUGAAGCCUGCGCAAACUGCUGUAUCUCUGCUUAAUAAGCUGGAUACAUUUGAACUUCGCAGUUUAAUUUUAGGACCGACAUUUUUCCAGUUUUUUUUUUUUUUUAAGUGGAGGUGCAUUUAGGACACUGACCAAAUAUGUUCUAGAUUUAGGCAGAGUAGUUACAGACAUUCCAGCUGUUCCCCUAAGUUCAAAGCUUUCUGCUUAGGCUUACAGCAGUGGUUCUCACCCUGUGGGUAACAACGCCUUUGGGGGGGUCACACAUCAGACAUCUACAUUACAAUGCACAAACAGUAGCAAAAUCACAGCUAUGAAGUGGCAAGGAAAAUGUGUUAUGGUUGGAGGUCGCCACCUCAUGAGGAACUGUAUUAAAGGGUCGGGGCAUUAGGAAGGCUGAGAACCACUGCUCCACAGUGAAGCCCUCGAAGCCCAGGUAUCUCCCAAUCAAAACACAAGGGUGGAACUGGAGAGGUGGCUCAUCCAUUAAGACCACUCGCUGCUCUUUCAGAGGACUGGAGUUCGAUUCCCAGCACCUACAAUACUGGCUCACACAGCCUGUAACUUCAAUUCCAGGGCAUCAAAUGCCCUCUUCGGCCUUCUGUGUGCAUGUUCACACAGAAAUACAGAUAAAAUUGUCUUUGAAAACGCUCAAAUUGGAAACGAGACAACACAGUGACACCUUUUUAAUUCUGAAGAGCAAUGUGGCUGUGAGGCGAGGAUGGUGGUGUCCUGCACAGAGCCAGGCUGUGCUGCACAUAGAUCGACAGAGAAAACCAAACUGGGAAUACAUAGUGAAUAGAGGGAUUCAUCCUUCCGUCUAGCCAUUCAACAGAUACUUGUGUAGUCUUGUAAAUAUGCUGCUUCUGUAUAUGUAUAUACAUAUAUAUAUGUAUAUGUAUGUGUAUGUAUAUAUGUAUAUGUAUGUGUAUGUAUAUAUGUAUAUGUAUGUAUGACUGAAAUAAAUGUGAAAUUCUGAAA